AAUGAACGUUGGCGGCGUGGAUUAGGCAUGCAAGUCGAGCGCGAACCCCGCAAGGGUAAGGAGCGGCGAAAGGGAAGAGUAACGCGUGGGUAGUCUGCCCUCCGGGUCGUGGGAGUAGCUGCGGGAAACGUGCAGGUAAUACCAGAUGAUGUCCCCGGACCCAAAGGUGUGAUUCCGCCCGAGGAUGAGCCCGCGUCCUAUUAGCUUGUUGGUAGGGUAAUGGCCUACCAAGGCAAUGAUGGGUACGUGGGUGGUGAGAGCACGACCCA
rnacentral:rRNA from 1 species